AAAUGUUUCUUUUUUAAAUGGGAGGGAAGGGACGGCCCUGUUCCUUGAGUUGGAUAUGGCUGAUGGUGAUUGAACAAACACCUUUGGGAGACAACAAUGACUCUGUUGAUUAGCCUUGUUCUCUUCUCAUUGCAAUUUGAAGCCCAACCAAUUUUCUCAGUCAAUGCCGACAAGCGACUUCUUCAUCUUUGUUCGUGAUGGUGAUAACAAAGAUUGGUGUAAUGGUACUGAUGCCCUUAUGCUAUAGUUGCAGUAAUAGCAUUCAUCUUUACUCCCUCAUGGUUGGAAAUUAACCAAGGAAAUCAUAAAUUGUAUCUUCAUAUUCGGUCUCCUCAUUUUUAAGCCAGCAGAGUUAGGUUAUUCUUAAUGGAUCACGUCGAGUUGCUAUCUGUGUAUACUAAGAUCAACUAACUAACUGGGUGCAGAAACCAGCACCUCAAAUGGCUUAUCUGGAACUGCUGGCAUGCUAAAAUUGGAUGGUGGAUUAUAAUUAAUAAGCCCAUGUACAAUUGAUGAAUGGUAGUAUGUGACGAGAAAGUAUGUUAUAAUUAGGUAAAGACAAUAAAGAAAAAUUUCUCUUUA